CAAUACUGACACUGAGGAGUGAAAGCGCGGGGAGCGAACAGGAUUAGAUACCCUGGUAGUCCGCGCCGUAAACGAUGGGCGCUAGUUGUGGGGACCUUCCACGGUUUCUGCGACGCAGCUAACGCAUUAAGCGCCCCGCCUGGGGAGUACGAUCGCAAGAUUAAAACUCAAAGGAAUUGACGGGGCCCCGCACAAGCAGCGGAGCAUGCGGCUUAAUUCGACGCAACGCGAAGACCUUACCAAGGCUUGACAUAUAGGGAAAAGCAGCAGAGAUGUUGUGUCCGCAAGGGCUCUAUACAGGUGGUGCAUGGUUGUCGUCAGCUCGUGUCGUGAGAUGUUGGGUUAAGUCCCGCAACGAGCGCAACCCUCGUUCUGUGUUGCCAGCAUUUAGUUGGGGACUCACAGGAGACUGCCGGGGUCAACUCGGAGGAAGGUGGGGAUGACGUCAAAUCAUCAUGCCCCUUAUGUCUUGGGCUGCACGCAUGCUACAAUGGCCGAUACAAAGGGCUGCAAUACCGCAAGGUGGAGCGAAUCCCAAAAAGUCGGUCUCAGUUCGGAUUGGGGUCUGCAACUCGACCCCAUGAAGUCGGAGUUGCUAGUAAUCGUAGAUCAGCAACGCUACGGUGAAUACGUUCCCGGGGCUUGUACACACCGCCCGUCACGUCACGAAAGUCGGUAACACCCAAAGUCAGUGGCCCAAC
rnacentral:rRNA from 1 species